UGGAGACGGAACUUUGUAAAAUGUCGGCCGAAAGUGUUCCUCGCGUCGAAAAUUUUCUUACCAAAAUUGUGAGCUUGAAACGACUCUGCUUUAGAUAUUUGGAAAGUUGAGCUUUGCUGCAGACAUGCCCACGGUUGUGAUGCUCGCAGUGGACUGUCUAGACAGUUGGAAAGGACCUACACGAUUAACUAAGCGUUGAGAAAAGCCCAGCACACAUCUAAUCGUGGAUAUUUAUGGAUGGAGUACAACUAGACUGGACGUGGAAUUGUAUGAAUUUAUCAUCCCUGAGCCUGACUUCUCCAACCCGUCGUAUUUAAUUUUCGGGUUGUAAAGCCUUUGACUGUGAAACCCAACAGAUGCAUCGACAGAGGGAGCCGUGACAAAACGAGAACUGUCCUCAGGAAAUACUUUGUAUGCCAACUGAUUAAUGACAUCAUUACGUGUAGUGUGAUUGAACUUUCUGAGGUGGUAAUGUCCAAGCCGUGUUGAACUACGAGGAUCAGAUUUUGGAGGUUUGCUGACCAACCUCACGUGAAACUGAUUUCCUGUGCCAGAAAUGUUCCAUCAAAUCAUCCUCCCUGGAUGAAGGAGAGCUCGAUGCAUGGUUAUCGUCAAGUUUGGUAACUUCUGGCAAAAACAUGACUGCAAAAA